rnacentral:rRNA from 1 species
GUGUGAUAAGGGAACCCUGAGUGCUUAGUUUAACUAGGCUUUUGCCAAGUGUAAAUAGCUUGGCGAAUAAGUGGUGGGUAAGACUGGUGCCAGCCGCCGCGGUAACACCAGCGCCACGAGUGGGAAUCGUUUUUAUUGGGCCUAAAGCGUCCGUAGCCUGUUUAGUAAAUCUUUUGUGGAAUUAUUGGGCUUAACUCAAUAACGUGCAGAAGACACUGCUAAACUUGAAACCGGGAGAAGUCAGAAGUAUUUGAAGGGGAGCGGUAAAAUGCUAUAAUCCUUUGAGGACUACCAGUGGCGAAAGCGUCUGACUAGAACGGAUUUGACGGUGAGGGACGAAAGCUAGGGGAGCGAUCCGGAUUAGAUACCCGAGUAGUCCUAGCUGUAAACGCUGCGAGCAAGGUGUUGCGUAUUCUACGAGAAUACGCAGUGUCGAAGAGAAGUCGUUUAGCUCGCCGCCUGGGAAGUACGGUC